rnacentral:rRNA from 1 species
AAGUCCCGCAAGGGAUGAGUAGAGUGGCAAACGGGUGAGUAACACGUGGGUGACCUGCCUUCGAGCGGGGGAUAACGUCCCGAAAGGGACGCUAAUACCGCAUGACAUCCUGCCUUUGAAGAGGUGGAGAUCAAAGCUGGGGAUCGCAAGACCUAGCACUCGAAGAGGGGCCCGCGCCUGAUUAGCUAGUUGGUGGGGUAAUGGCUCACCAAGGCAACGAUCAGUAGCCGGCCUGAGAGGGCGGACGGCCACACUGGGACUGAGAUACGGCCCAGACUCCUACGGGAGGCAGCAGUGGGGAAUUGUUCGCAAUGGGCGCAAGCCUGACGACGCAACGCCGCGUGGAGGAUGAAGAUCUUCGGG